UGGGGAAUUUUGGACAAUGGGCGAAAGCCUGAUCCAGCAAUGCCGCGUGUGUGAAGAAGGCCUUCGGGUUGUAAAGCACUUUUGUCCGGAAAGAAAUCCUUGGCUCUAAUACAGUCGGGGGAUGACGGUACCGGAAGAAUAAGCACCGGCUAACUACGUGCCAGCAGCCGCGGUAAUACGUAGGGUGCAAGCGUUAAUCGGAAUUACCGGGCGUAAAGCGUGCGCAGGCGGUUUGCUAAGACCGAUGUGAAAUCCCCGGGCUCAACCUGGGAACUGCAUUGGUGACUGGCAGGCUAGAGUAUGGCAGAGGGGGGUAGAAUUCCACGUGUAGCAGUGAAAUGCGUAGAGAUGUGGAGGAAUACCGAUGGCGAAGGCAGCCCCCUGGGCCAAUACUGACGCUCAUGCACGAAAGCGUGGGGAGCAAACAGGAUUAGAUACCCUGGUAGUCCACGCCCUAAACGAUGUCAACUAGUUGUUGGGGAUUCAUUUCCUUAGUAACGUAGCUAACGCGUGAAGUUGACCGCCUGGGGAGUACGGUCGCAAGAUUAAAACUCAAAGGAAUUGAC
rnacentral:rRNA from 1 species